GGUAUCUGUGACUACCCUAUCAAGAUGAUCUCCCACACUCAGCUUCUCUGGCUCCUUGUCCUCUGCAUUCAGGACUCCAGUGGGCAGAUUGUGCUGACUCAGACUCCGGAAUCCCUGGCAGUAUCUCCAGGAGACAGAGUCACCAUCAACUGCAAAGCCAGUUCUAGUGCUAGAGGAUAUGUGGCCUGGUACCAACAGAAAACAGGACAAGCUCCUAAGCUCCUUAUCUACAGCGCUUCCACCCGUCCCUCUGGGAUCCCAGACAGGUUCAGUGGCAGUGGGUCUGGCACUGACUACACAUUCACUAUCAGCGGGGUUGAAGCAGAUGAUGCUGGAGAUUAUUACUGCCAGUAUCAUUACACCACCCCUCUCACACAGUGA